rnacentral:rRNA from 1 species
GAUGAACGCUGGCGGCGUGCCUAAUACAUGCAAGUCGAGCGAACGGACGAGAAGCUUGCUUCUCUGAUGUUAGCGGCGGACGGGUGAGUAACACGUGGAUAACCUACCUAUAAGACUGGGAUAACUUCGGGCAACCGGAGCUAAUACCGGAUAAUAUUUUGAACCGCCUGGUUCAAAAGUGAAAGACGGUCUUGCUGUCACUUAUAGAUGGAUCCGCGCUGCAUUAGCUAGUUGGUAAGGUAACGGCUUACCAAGGCAACGAUGCAUAGCCGACCUGAGAGGGUGAGCGGCCACACAGGAACUGAGACACGGUCCAGACGCCUACGGGAGGCAGCAGUAGGGAAUCUUCCGCAAUUGGCGAAAGCCUGACGGAGCAACGCCGCGUGAGUGAUGAAGGUCUUCGGAUCGUAAAACUCUGUUAUUAGGGAAGAACAGAUGUGUAAGUAACUGUGCACAUCUUGACGGUACCUAAACAGAAAGCCACGGCUAACUACGUG